rnacentral:rRNA from 1 species
AACCUGGUUGAUCCUGCCAGUAGUCAUAUGCUUGUCUCAAAGACUAAGCCAUGCAUGUCUAAGUAUAAAUGCUAUACAAUGAAACUGCGAAUGGCUCAUUAAAACAGUUAUAGUUUAUUUGGUAAUCGAAUUUACAUGGAUAACCGGGGUAAUUCUAGAGCUAAUACAUGCUAUUAAGCCUGACUUCUUGAAAGGCCGUAUUUAUUAGAUAACAGACCAAUAUUCCUCGCGUCUAUUGUGGUGAAUCAUAGUAACUUUUCGGAUCGCAUGGGUUUUGCCCGCGACAAACCAUUCAAGUUUCUGCCCCAUCAGCUUUCGAUGGUAGUGUAUUGGACUACCAUGGCUUUCACGGGUAACGGAGGAUUAGGGUUCGAUUCCGGAGAGGGAGCCUGAGAAACGGCUACCACAUCUAAGGAAGGCAGCAGGCGCGUAAAUUACCCAAUUCUGACUCAGAGAGGUAGUGACAAGAAAUAACGGGUCGGGGUUUCCCCGGGACUGCAAUGAAACGAAUUUACACAUCUUAUCGAGCA